CGGAGGUGAUGAGAACUCCGUAGCCCCUGACCACUCGUGGAGGGAAAAACUGAUUUAAUGAGCCUGAUCC